CAGUCGCCGCGGGAAUACGGAGGGUGCAAGCGUUAAUCGGAAUUACUGGGCGUAAAGCGUGCGUAGGUGGUGGUUUAAGUCCGUUGUGAAAGCCCUGGGCUCAACCUGGGAAUUGCAGUGGAUACUGGGUCACUAGAGUGUGGUAGAGGUUAGUGGAAUUUCCGGUGUAGCAGUGAAAUGCGUAGAGAUCGGAAGGAACAUCUGUGGCGAAGGCGACUAUCUGGGCCAACACUGACACUGAGGCACGAAAGCGUGGGGAGCAAACAGGAUUAGAUACCCCAGUAGUCCCUGUCUCUUAUAA
rnacentral:rRNA from 1 species